GGGGGUUCUCCCAGGAGCAUGUCUGUCUGAGUGUCGGU
rnacentral:rRNA from 1 species